GACGAACGCUGGCGGCGUGCUUAACACAUGCAAGUCGAACGGAAAGGCCCUGCUUUUGUGGGGUGCUCGAGUGGCGAACGGGUGAGUAACACGUGAGUAACCUGCCCUUGACUUUGGGAUAACUUCAGGAAACUGGGGCUAAUACCGGAUAGGAGCUCCUGCUGCAUGGUGGGGGUUGGAAAGUUUCGGCGGUUGGGGAUGGACUCGCGGCUUAUCAGCUUGUUGGUGGGGUAGUGGCUUACCAAGGCUUUGACGGGUAGCCGGCCUGAGAGGGGGACCGGCCACAUUGGGACUGAGAUACGGCCCAGAAUCCUACGGGAGGCAGCAGUGGGGAAUAUUGCACAAUGGGCGGAAGCCUGAUGCAGCAACGCCGCGUGCGGGAUGACGGCCUUCGGGUUGUAAACCGAUUUCGCCUGUGACGAAGCGUGAGUGACGGUAAUGGGUAAAGAAGCACCGGCUAACUACGUG
rnacentral:rRNA from 1 species